rnacentral:lncRNA from 1 species
AAUUGAUUCCUAUGUCAUGCUGUUGCUAAUAUAGAAUUGAUUUUUCUGAGCUCACUUUCAUGCUCACUGAUGUGAUACAGUAAUAACAUGUAUAUUUUAAUUUAGAGUCUAUGACUAUGUACAUUCAUGCAUAUAUCAACAAAAAAAAUUAAAUGUGUAUACUCACAUCAUGUAUAUUUUCACCUCUUCGCAAUUGUUUAGCACAUACCAAUGAUGUCGUCUGUUUUCUGUGGUGUCAAUAUUCGAAAAUCUUUCUUAUCAUAUGGUCGG